rnacentral:rRNA from 1 species
CAGCAGCAGCCACGGUAAUACGAGGGGUGCAAGCGUUAUUCGGAUUGAUUGGGUGUAAAGGGUGUGCAGACGGCUUAUUAAGUCACUUGUUAAAUUCUUCGGCCUAACUGAGGGUCUGCGAGUGAUACUGAUGAGCUAGAGGGUGGAAGAGAGAAGUGGAAUUCUCGGAGUAGCGGUAAAAUGCGUAGAUCUCGAGAGGAACACCAAUGGCGAAGGCAGCUUCUUGGUCCAUUCCUGACGUUCAUACACGAAAGCGUGGGGAGCAAACAGGAUUAGAUACCCCCGUAGUCCCUGUCUCUUAUAC